GAUCCGGUGCCCUAGUGGUUUGUGCUUCCGCCUCUGAUGCGAGAGGACAUGGGUUCGAUCCUUGUCCGAGUCA